GGAUGAUUAACUUCUGUCCUCUCUCUUUCUCUGCUGUCUUCAAUAGAGCAUGCAUCAUUUUGAACGUGAAUUUUCGGAAAAGCAUCAAGUUUACAGCAUCUGAUUUACUUCCUAUUCCUUUUAACACACUCUCUUAACAAAAAUGUCCCUGUAAAAAACCCUUGGUAAGUUCUUGUUUGAGUGUUUUAUUCUAACAACUGCAUGAAUGAGUAAAAUGUGUGUUUGCAGCCAACUUCUUCCAACAUGGGUAUUGGAAAGGUCUAGUUAUAAUUGAGCACUUGUCUCCAAUGUUUUUUCUGGUAAAUACAGGAAAAUAUUUCACUGUGGGACAGAACAAUUUAAACUGUAGAUGUAACUGCAUAUGAGUACACCAGCAUGAACUAAGAUUUCCUUUGCACCACUCAUGUCAAGGAGGGAGGACAGCUUGGUUUUGAUUGACUAAUAGAAAUGAAUUUAUUUGCAGAUUUUCAAAACUAUGCUUUUAAUUAAUGGGUUCAAUAUGUAACGCUCAUAGCUAGUCAGAUACUUGUGUCUUGAGGUAGAGCUCAGGUGUAAGAGUGUCAUCAGUCUCCCAGGAGUUUAACUGUAUGAUGUUGUCGGCAGCUCAAUUUCAGUAAUAGUUAGUCCUGAGGAAUUCCUGGAAGGAAGAUGGCCUCUCCUCCUACUUCCCUGUCUUUUCUGCCCCCAUUGUAAAAUAACCAGAACAAAGUUUGAAGAGAACACAUGGAAUCUUGACCUAAUACUACUUAGUGAUCCAAGCACUUUGUGGCUUUUUUGCCCCUCUCUCUGUCAAAUGUCUACCUUCUUUCACUGCAUAUGUUACCACUGCAUUUGUAUUCCAAACAGAGUCCUGGCCACUGUUUCCAUGGUCAUUCCUUAUUGCAUCUUGUAUAACUGCUUGCAUAGCCUCUUCAACCUCACCUUGCAGUUCCAGCCAAAAUUCUUGUCUUUGUUCUCUGCAGUUCUUGUAUCUCUUUCAAGCCAUUUAAUUUAUGAUUAGCUGGUCUUGGCUCUUUUACAGCAGCUCAUCUGAUCAGUUUGGCGUUAGCAUCACUAUGCCAGUCCUACAGCGUUCUGCUCUGACCACUUGAACCGCAAAAGUGGUUACUUUAACGGUUCUUGGUCUUGUUCUUCCCUUGGCGAAGCAUCAAGAUUUGCUUUGUGGCGCUUUGCUGGCAGUCUGUACACACAGGAGAAACAAAAGGGCUCUAGCCUAGGGGAUGGUUUUCCAGUAUUUCUAAUAAUACAUUGACUUACAUCUUUGGCUAGUGCAAAAAGUAGAUUUGGAUAAGUUAGAUGGCCCCAAAGCAUCAAUAUACAAUUCAUUUACUUCUGUGCUAACACUGUGUAAUGUUUUGUUUACUUAAGAGAGCAGUUGAUCCACAUGCAACAGGCACGUUAAAUUGUUUCAGUUGAUCUCUGAUAUUUCUACUAGGACUUCAGUAUUUCCUCUGGAAGGGAGGAGAGUGAAGAUGAGCCCAAUAUGUACUUCUGUUUUGCUGUCACAGAAGGUUUUCAUGCCAAUGAGAAUUUCUCCUGAAGAGUUGGAAGUGCUACAAUCACAGCAUGUAUUAAUGCACACUGGCAAAAUUGGAUGCUUGGUGUGAAUACUCUGCAUUUUCAGCUUGCUCCCAUAUGGGAAAAGCCUCUCUUCAAAAGCUGGUGCAAAUAGAAAAUGAGAGAGCUUUGAGUUAUGACUUUCAUCUAGUAUAAUUCCUCUCUUUAAUUACAGCAGUUACUUUUUUACUAUUACUUGUUAGUCUGAGAGCAAGUGUUAGUGAGGAACUGAGAUAGAAGUGGAGCACAGAGAACUUUUUGCCUAUUUUUGUUUUCUGUAGUUGAGCUUUAUCCUUCAUCUAAUACCUCUUCAGUCCGUGUGGCAUAAUGUCCUUUAACCGCUUGGCAUUUGCUUACUUCAUAGCGAGCAGUUCUACUUCACUAACAAUAGUUUCUUAGCUGGCCUUGUGUUGUCUUUCUUUGUUGUCCUUUAGUAUCAUAGCUCUUGCCACUUACCAGUAUAUUCCUCUUUGUAGGUUAGAGCUACUGGAAGCAAGUGUUAGACUAUAGGGGCCAUUUCUCUCUGGUCUUACCAUGGAGUAAGUUGUGAUCUAGAUGAUGGAGUUAACAUUCACUGUUGAAUAGUUCUAAGAUAUUAAUCAUUAUGCCCCUACUUAUUCCAGAAUAUAUGAGACGAGACAGGCCCAUCAUUCACUGUAUAGCUGGUGAUGGGCUCCAAAUGCCACCUCCAAGAGGAUGUCUUGUGGAACAGCAAGCGGUCACCUCAAGCCCUUUGCUCUUACUCCUGCCUGGAUCUUUGAUUAGACUUGUGUAGAAAGGAUGGUGCGAUGUGCGGCAGCAGAGUUGCACAAGAUCAGGGUGUUUGGGAGAGCUGCUUGG